rnacentral:rRNA from 1 species
CCUACGGGUGGCAGCAGUGAGGGAUAUUGGUCAAUGGGGGAAACCCUGAACCAGCAACGUCGCGUGAGGGAAGACGGUUCUCGGAUUGUAAACCUCUGUCUUCUGUGAAGAUAAUGACGGUAGCCGAGGAGGAAGCUCCGGGUUAAUACGUGCCAGCAGCCGCGGGCAUUCGUAGGGAGCAAGCGUUGUCCGGGUUUACUGGGUGUUAAGGGUGCGUUGGGGGGCCUGCAAGUCAGGAGUGAAAACCAUGGGGUUAAACCGUGAAGUGCUGUUGAAACCGUUGGGCUUGAGUGGAGGAGAAGCAUGCGGAAUGCCCGGGGUAGCGGUGAAAGGCAUAGAGAUCAGGAAGAAACCCGAUUGCGAAGGCAGCCUACUGGGGCUUAACUGACGCUGAAGCACGAAAGCGUGGGUAGCGAACAGGAUUAGAUACCCGUGUAGUC